rnacentral:other from 1 species
AGACGGCUGCCUGGCGCGUCAGGUCGCAUAAUCCCCGGGGCCGAUAACCAUCUCUCUGGGAGCUGUCCCUACCGGCACCGUGGUGUCGGCAUACGGCGCCCACCUGCACUGGCAGGUCACGAGGGAUACGCACAUACCAACGGCCGAGGUGGCUGUCUU